GACGAACCGUGCAAACGUUGUUCGGAUUCACUGGGCUUAAAGGGCGCGUAGGCGGGUGGUCAAGUCAGAGGUGAAAUCUUUCGGCUCAACCGGAAAAGUGCCCCUGAUACUGGCCAUCUCGAGGGAGGUAGGGGCAUGUGGAACUUCCGGUGGAGCGGUGAAAUGCGUAGAUAUCGGAAGGAACGCCGGUGGCGGAAGCGACGUGCUGGACCUCUUCUGACGCUGAGGCGCGAAAGCUAGGGGAGCAAACGGG
rnacentral:rRNA from 1 species